rnacentral:piRNA from 1 species
UGACUAUUGGCCAGAUCCUGAAUGAU